AAAAAAAAAAGAAAGAAAGUUUUGUUGGAAACGAAACUUCAAGGCAACAGUGAAAUAACACAAGGCAUAUUGGAUUACGUAGUAGAAACCACCAAACCAAUUUCUCCUGCAAACCAGGGUAUCAGAGGGAAACGAGUUGUACUAAUGAAAAAAUUUCCUCUGGAUGGAGAGAAGAUGGGCAGAGAAGCGUCAUUGUUUAUUGUUCCAUCAGUUGUCAAAGAUAAUACUAAAUACACAUAUACCCCAGGAUGCCCAAUUUUUUACUGCUUACAAGAUAUUAUGCGAGUCUGUAGUGAAUCCAGUACUCAUUUUGCUACACUUACAGCAAGGAUGUUAAUAGCCUUGGAUAAGUAAGAAAUGCCAUUAGAAGUAUCUUUUAAUUAAUCAAAUACAUGUUUAUAGUAGAAAUUAGUUCUGAUAGAUACAGACACUUUGAGAAGAAAAUAAUGAAAAUAAUAUAUGUAUUAAAAAAUGGUAAGUUUUUCAAUUCUAAUAUAAAAAUGAAAAACCGGAAGAUAAGGUUGUCCUGGCCUGGGUACAGGAUGUUAAUUUUAUUUUUCAGAAAUGGCAAACACUGCCCUGGCUUAAGAAUUAAGAUUUCCCUGUUAUGAAACUAUACAUUUAAUAUUGAGUUACUCUUAUCAGUGAAGAAGUCAUUCAACCUCUUAUGCCUUUGUCUUUCUGUAAGAACAGGGCUAAUGUCACCUACAUCUCAGUAGUUUGAAUUUUAAUGGUACUUUAAUGUUUUUUGAAAGGAGUUUUUAUUACUAUAAUGGCAUAUACAUUUAAAAAAUUUAUUUGCUGUAUCCAUUAACAAAACUUGUAUUAAUAAUAAAUGAAGUAUUUGUGUACUGACUUGAUCUUUAUAGAUCAUAUGAACAUUAUCACAUGUGCCCCUAAAGUAUGUAUAGUAUUAUGCAUGUUUUUUAAUUGUUUAAAAAAAUCAAUUUGCAAUAUAAAUAAAUUUUAAAAAUAAUAAAGUACUUAACUAACACUAAAUUAAAAUUAUAAAAAUCUGAAGGUAAUAUUCACAAGUGUCAUAUAUCAGAGUUAGAUAGUAAUCUACCUUUUUCAUCUUCACUUUCGAAUGGCUACUUCUACCUCUUUUUUUAUUUUGCCAGGUGGUUAGAUGAACGUCAUGCACAAUCUCACUUUAUUCCAGCUUUAUUCCGACCUUCUCCUCUUGAGCGGAUAAAAACUAAUGUCAUAAAUCCUGCAUAUGCUACUGAAUCAGGUCAGACAGAAAACUCACUACAUAUGGGCUAUAGUGCACUAGAAAUAAAGAGUAAAAUGUUAGCCCUAGAGAAAGCAGAUACCUGUAUUUACAACCCUUUGUUUGGAUCAGAUCUUCAAUAUACAAAUCGGGUAGAUAAAGUGGUAAUAAAUCCAUACUUUGGUCUAGGAGCUCCAGACUACUCAAAAAUCCAAAUACCUAAACAGGAAAAAUGGCAGAGAAGCAUGAGCAGUGUCACAGAAGACAAGGAACGACAGUGGGUAGAUGAUUUUCCUCUCCACCGAAGCGCCUGUGAAGGAGAUUCAGAAUUACUAAGCCGUCUUCUCAGUGAAAGAUUUUCAGUCAACCAAUUAGAUAGUGACCACUGGGCACCCAUUCAUUAUGCAUGCUGGUAUGGAAAAGUUGAGGCCACUCGCAUAUUGUUAGAGAAAGGAAAGUGCAAUCCAAACCUUUUAAAUGGACAACUUAGUUCUCCUCUUCAUUUUGCUGCUGGAGGAGGACAUGCUGAAAUAGUACAGAUUCUCCUAAACCAUCCAGAAAUUGAUAGAUAUGAAAAAUUUCGAAUAUACAGAAUGGAUGGGUCAUAUCGUUCUGUUGAAUUGAAGCAUGGAAAUAAUACCACAGUGCAGCAGAUAAUGGAAGGAAUGCGUCUCUCUCAAGAAACUCAGCAAUAUUUCACUAUAUGGAUUUGUUCAGAAAACCUCAGCCUUCAACUCAAACCGUAUCAUAAACCCUUGCAACAUGUUCGUGACUGGCCAGAAAUACUUGCUGAAUUGACUAAUCUGGAUCCUCAAAGGGAAACACCUCAGCUUUUUCUAAGAAGAGAUGUGAGACUUCCUUUGGAAGUUGAAAAACAGAUUGAAGACCCACUAGCUAUUCUUAUUCUCUUUGAUGAAGCCAGAUAUAAUUUAUUGAAGGGCUUUUAUACAGCUCCUGAUGCUAAGCUGAUAACAUUGGCAAGUCUGCUUUUGCAAAUAGUCUAUGGAAAUUAUGAGAGUAAAAAACACAAGCAAGGUUUCCUAAAUGAAGAAAAUCUAAAAUCCAUCGUACCUGUUACCAAACUGAAAAGUAAGGCACCUCACUGGACAAAUCGCAUACUUCAUGAAUACAAGAAUCUCAGUACAAGUGAAGGUGUCAGUAAAGAAAUGCAUCACCUUCAGCGCAUGUUCUUACAGAAUUGCUGGGAAAUUCCUACUUAUGGAGCAGCAUUUUUCACAGGACAGAUAUUUACAAAGGCAAGCCCCAGCAAUCAUAAAGUCAUCCCUGUGUAUGUAGGAGUGAAUAUAAAAGGACUUCAUCUCCUCAACAUGGAAACUAAGGCUUUACUCAUCAGUCUUAAAUAUGGUUGUUUUAUGUGGCAAUUGGGAGAUACUGAUACUUGUUUUCAGAUCCAUAGCAUGGAAAAUAAAAUGAGCUUUAUAGUACAUACAAAACAGGCUGGUCUCGUGGUAAAACUGUUAAUGAAGCUAAAUGGACAGUUAAUGCCCACUGAAAGAAAUUCAUGAAAGAGAAGUAACUGUUACUCAAGCCACCACAUUUUGUAAUGCAGAGUUUUUUUUCCGUGAAAGAUUUCUUAAAGUAUUACUUUUGGCCGAGCGUGGUGGCUCACCCCUGUAAUUCCAACACUUUGGGAGGCUGGGGCAGGCGGAUCACCUGAAGUCAGAGUUCAAGACCAGCCUGGCCAACAUGGUGAAACCCUUUCUCUACAAAAAUACAAAAAUUAGCUGGACGUGGUGGCGGGCGCCUAUAAUCCUAGCUACUAGGGAGGCCGAGGUGGGAGAUCGCUUAAACCCAGGAGGUGGAGGUUGUAGUGAGCCAAGAUUGCACUGCGGCACUCUAGCCUGGGUGACAGAGCAAGACUCCAUCUCAAAAAAAAAAAAAAUACUUUCAACAAGGCAUUUAGUCUCUUGUAAUAUAUAUGUAUACUAUUACAUUGUACAGAAUCUGUACUUAUGUUUGGUGUGUAAUAUACCAAUUAGUUUUAUAUAUUAUCCUCAUAAGCUAUUCUAAUUUUUGAGAGAAACACAAAAAGUUAUAGAUUGAUAGUCUGUAUAAUAUUAGACAAAAUAGUAAGCUUUAUAAAAAGUUAUUUUUGGUAAAUGGUAAAGAAUUUGGGGUGGAAUGUGAUGAGAUUAAAAUGUAGCUUUGAUAUAACUUCAUGUGUAUUUCAAAAUAUACUGAACGUCAACAUGAUUUGAAUAAAGAAAAUGUAUUUUCUACUUGAACCAUAUAACACUGUUAUUUAAAAUAGUUUUCUGCAGUCUAUAAACAUUUAUCAACAUUUUUUUAAAAGUCUUAGUUAAAAUGUAAAUCUGAUACACGGUAAUGUUUCUCAAAGUAUAGUUCAUGAACUCCUUGCAUCAUAAUUACCUAGAUGCCUCUUAAAAAUGAAGAUUUCAGAGACCCAUUCCAAACAAGGGCAUUCAUUCUCUGGAAGUAGCAUGGCCUUGUGAACUUAAAUUUGGUUUUGUUUUUUCUUUUUUGCUGUUAGAAUAAUUCCAGACCCAAUAAGGAAUUUCGAUUAUUAAAGUUGAGAAAUUUCACAAAACUGCCUGGCACACAAGCACACACAUACAUAGACACAUUUUAAGUGAUAAUCUCUUGAUAUUAGAAGUUGCAUUUGUUAAAUACAUGCUGUAUUUUUUAUGAGUUGACUUAAUAGUUUAUGUAUAUUGACUUUGCUUUGUAGGAAGUAAAUCACCAGAUAUCUGAUUGUUUCAUUUAGGGAAGUAGUGAUAUAGAUGAGGAGCCAACUUGAUGAAUGUACUAUUCAUAAGCUAGAAACUACAGUCUUUCCAAACUAAUAAACUGAUGAAUUCUAAAUAA
rnacentral:sRNA from 1 species